rnacentral:tRNA from 1 species
GGGCCUAUAGUUUUAAUGGUACAACAUCGGUCUCCAUAACCGAGGUUCGAGGUUCGAAUCCUCGUGGGCCCG